rnacentral:rRNA from 1 species
CGCCCAUUAAAGCGGUACGCGAGCUGGGUUCAGAACGUCGUGAGACAGUUCGGUCCAUAUCCGGUGUACGCGCAAGAACAUUGAGAGGAUUCUUCUCUAGUACGAGAGGACCGAGAAGAACGUACCUCUGGUGUACCAGUUAUCGUGCCAACGGUAAGCGCUGGGUAGCCAUGUACGGAGUGGAUAACCGCUGAAAGCAUCUAAGUGGGAAGCCCACCUCAAGAUGAGUGUUCUCAUGGCACAAGCCAGUAAGGUCACGGGAAGAACACCCGUCAAUAGGCUCUAUGUGGAAGCCUAGCAAUAGGUGAAGCAAAGGGGUACUAAUAGACCGAGGGCUUGACUAA